GCAAAAUUCAGUUAUAUUGCUUAUGUUGUUUUUAUGUGCUUUUCUCUCUAUUCUGAAACAACUUUUUACAGAUAUUUAAUACAUUUCCAUAUUGUAUUGCAUCAUUUAGGAUAUAGGAUCCAUCAGAAGGAUUGAUUAAGUCAUCUACUAACAGCACCAUAAACUUAUCCUCAGGUGGGAGUGAUUAAAUGAUCAUUAGGAGACUGACCGACUAAUUCAUAACUUGUGAUUUAGUAGUGCUGUUUGAUAGGAAUUGAAGAGUGAUAUCAUAAAGGAGCAUAUCUUAUCUUCAGAUGAAAACCCAGGAAUUGGAAGACAGAGGAUACGCUUCUGUAUGGCAUUCCAAUUCAACAUCCGAAGAUUCAGCAGCACCUACCAGCUGAUUUGGGAUCCAUAUCAUUGGAGGAACUGAAAAAAAAAGAAAGAAAGAGAUAAG